rnacentral:rRNA from 1 species
CUUUCGCCCGCCGGCGACCGGCGCACGGGUGAGUAACACGUAUGCAACCUGGCCGCCACAGGGGGAUAACCCGCGGAAACGCGGCCUAAUACCCCGUGACGCCACCGGAGGGCAUCCUCCGGUGGCCAAAGGAGCGAUCCGGUGGCGGAUGGGCACGCGGCGCAUUAGGCAGUAGGCGGGGUAACGGCCCACCUAACCGACGAUGCGUAGGGGUUCUGAGAGGAAGGUCCCCCACACUGGUACUGAGACACGGACCAGACUCCUACGGAAGGCAGCAG